GACGAACGCUGGCGGCGUGCUAAACACAUGCAAGUCGAACGGAAAGGCCCUGCUUUUGUGGGGUGCUCGAGUGGCGAACGGGUGAGUAACACGUGAGUAACCUGCCCUUGACUUUGGGAUAACUUCAGGAAACUGGGGCUAAUACCGGAUAGGAGCUCCUGCUGCAUGGUGGGGGUUGGAAAGUUUCGGCGGUUGGGGAUGGACUCGCGGCUUAUCAGCUUGUUGGUGGGGUAGUGGCUUACCAAGGCUUUGACGGGUAGCCGGCCUGAGAGGGUGACCGGCCACAUUGGGACUGAGAUACGGCCCAGACUCCUACGGGAGGCAGCAGUGGGGAAUAUUGCACAAUGGGCGGAAGCCUGAUGCAGUAACGCCGCGUGCGGGAUGACGGCCUUCGGGUUGUAAACCGCUUUCGCCUGUGACGAAGCGUGAGUGACGGUAAUGGGUAAAGAAGCACCGGCUAACUACGUG
rnacentral:rRNA from 1 species